UACGAAGGGGGCUAGCGUUGCUCGGAAUUACUGGGCGUAAAGCGCACAUAGGCGGCUUUCUAAGUCGGGGGUGAAAUCCUGGAGCUCAACUCCAGAACUGCCUUCGAUACUGGAGAGCUCGAGUCCGGGAGAGGUGAGUGGAACUGCGAGUGUAGAGGUGAAAUUCGUAGAUAUUCGCAAGAACACCAGUGGCGAAGGCGGCUCACUGGCCCGGUACUGACGCUGAGGUGCGAAAGCGUGGGGAGCAAACAGG
rnacentral:rRNA from 1 species